UGUUGAAAAAGGCAAAGCGGCGUGAAAACCCGUGACGCAAAGCCUCCGGUCUACCGUCUGUGUAGCAGACCACGAUAGCGGGGUUACCGAA
rnacentral:ncRNA from 1 species